UUUUACGCUCCUUGUCCCGAAAGAACUAUCAAGAUGACCGAAUCGUCUGCAUCUGUGUCUUCUUUAAUGAUGGCAACGACCUGUUGUUUCCUUAUGGCCACUACGGCCCAAGGGACAAUAAGUCCUUGGCUAAAUAGGUCCCAGCAAUUUAAUCGCUUCUUCCUGGCCCGUCCAUUGUCGUCUGAGAACAAUUUCCAACUUGAUAACGAUUAUGACGGUCGCCUUAUGG